rnacentral:rRNA from 1 species
GACAGAGGGGGCAAGCGUUGCUCGGAAUUAUUGGGCGUAAAGGGCUCGUAGGCGGUCUGUUGCGUCGGGAGUGAAAACUCAGGGCUUAACCCUGAGCCUGCUUCCGAUACGGGCAGACUAGAGGUAUGCAGGGGAGAACGGAAUUCCUGGUGUAGCGGUGAAAUGCGCAGAUAUCAGGAGGAACACCGGUGGCGAAGGCGGUUCUCUGGGCAUUACCUGACGCUGAGGAGCGAAAGUGUGGGGAGCGAACAGG